rnacentral:rRNA from 1 species
ACAAUGGGCGCAAGCCUGAUGCAGCAACGCGCGUGCGGGAUGACGGCCUUCGGGUUGUAAACCGCUUUCAGUUCCGACGAAGCGCAAGUGACGGUAGGAACAGAAGAAGGACCGGCCAACUACGUGCCAGCAGCCGCGGUGAUACGUAGGGUCCGAGCGUUGUCCGGAAUUAUUGGGCGUAAAGGGCUUGUAGGCGGUUUGUUGCGUCGGAAGUGAAAACUCAGGGCUUAACCCUGAGCCUGCUUCCGAUACGGGCAAACUAGAGGGAUGCAGGGGAGAAUGGAAUUCCUGGUGGAGCGGUGGAAUGCGCAGAUAUCAGGAGGAACACCGGUGGCGAAGGCGGUUCUCUGGGCAUUUCCUGACGCUGAGAAGCGAAAGCGUGGGGAGCAAACAGGCUUAGAUACCCUGGUAGUCCACGCCGUAAACGGUGGGCACUAGGUGUGGGGAACAUUCCACGUUCUCCGUGCCGAAGCUAACGCAUUAAGUGCCCCGCCUGGGGAGUACGGCCGCAAGGCUA